rnacentral:rRNA from 1 species
GUGCCAGCAGCCGCGGUAAUACGGAGGGGGCUAGCGUUGUUCGGAAUUACUGGGCGUAAAGCGCACGUAGGCGGCUUUGUAAGUUAGAGGUGAAAGCCUGGAGCUCAACUCCAGAACUGCCUUUAAGACUGCAUCGCUUGAAUCCAGGAGAGGUGAGUGGAAUUCCGAGUGUAGAGGUGAAAUUCGUAGAUAUUCGGAAGAACACCAGUGGCGAAGGCGGCUCACUGGACUGGUAUUGACGCUGAGGUGCGAAAGCGUGGGGAGCAAACAGGAUUAGAUA